UACGUAGGGCGCAAGCGUUGUCCGGAAUUAUUGGGCGUAAAGAGCUCGUAGGCGGUCUGUCGCGUCGGCUGUGAAAACCCGGGGCUCAACCCCGGGCCUGCAGUCGAUACGGGCAGACUAGAGUGCGGUAGGGGAGACUGGAAUUCCUGGUGUAGCGGUGAAAUGCGCAGAUAUCAGGAGGAACACCGGUGGCGAAGGCGGGUCUCUGGGCCGAUAUUGACGCUGAGGAGCGAAAGCGUGGGGAGCGAACAGG
rnacentral:rRNA from 1 species